UUGUGUAUAUUCAUAAACACCAUCAUCUGACACUGAAAGAGAAACAUCCCAGGACAAAGAAAAUCCUGGUAAGAUCCAACAGAUCCAUUUCUCAGUUUGAGUUGAAAGUGAUCACAUGACACAGCUAUAAAGAUGAGUGUCAGAUGUACAGCAUGUGUAUGAAUGCUUGUAGAUGAAUGUCAUGUGAUCACCUUGUUUCUCUGUGACAAUCUCUUUGCUUGAUUUCAGGCUCUUCUCUGAUAGUUGCUGUUUCUGUGGGUUUGAUCCUGCUGGCUGUGUGUUUAGCGCUCGUGUUGCUCAAAAUAAAAUACAACCGUAAACACGGCAUCGUUUCAUCGACUCCAGCACAAUUACCCACAAUCCCCUCUGAUGGGCUCCUGUUCACUGCUGUCAGUUUCCAGAAGCAUGAAGAGUCUCUCAGUGACGCUGCUCUCGCCUUCAGCAACGAGGAGAUUCACUCGGAUUACACCACGGUCAUUUACCACAUUGUGCCAAAUUCAUUUUAGUUCAGCCUAAAGAAACUCUGGAAUGAAAUGUAUUUUGAUUCAUUUGUUUCGCUCAAGCUUCCCCAAACACUUAAUCAGGCCUCUAUUUCUCUAAUUUUAAAGAAAAAUAAAGAUCCCUUGCAUUGCACUUCUUAUCGGCCGAUCAGCCUUCUUAAUGUUAACUUUAAACUCUUGUCUAAGUUGCUGGCUUUACGGCUAGAAUUCGUGCUACCAACCAUAAUUUCUCCAGAGCAGACAGACAUUCAUUUUUUAAUAUUAGAAAACUGUUCAACAUUGUAUAUAAUCCCUCUUCUUCUUCUGUCCUGGAGGCAAUAAUUUCAUUAAAUGCAGAGAAAGCUUUUGUCCGGGUGGAGUGGAAAUAUCUCUUUUACACUCUAGAGAAAUUUGGCUUUGGUGAUGAAUUUAUUUCUUGGGUGAGGUUAUUAUAUUCUGCCCCCCAAGCAUCUGUCAGAACCGACAAUACCCGUUCUGACUAUUUUUCCCUCCACCGGUCGACUUGCCAGGGAUGUCCCUUGAGUCCACUCCUCUUUGCCAUCGCUAUCGAACCCCUUGCUAUUGCACUGUGGUUUGAUUCAUCUAUAGAAGGCAUAAAAAGAAUGGGUACAGAGCAAAAAGUGUCUUUGUAUGCGGAUGAUCUCCUCCUUUAUAUUUCUGAUUUGGCUAGGUCGAUACCGGCAGCUCUUAAUAUUUUGAAAUCAUUCGGAAUAAUUUCUGGUUACAAAUUAAAUCUGAACAAAAGUGAAAUUUUUCCACUGAAUUCUGCAGCUAGGGACUAUCCUUUA